rnacentral:lncRNA from 10 species
UGUGGACCGUCUAGAGACGCUGGGCCACACGGAGCAAAGCACUCAGGGGUUCAAGCAGCAUCAGACUUCCCCGCGAGGUUCCUCCACUGCCUUUGUCACCCGCCAGUGUGAAGUCUCCAACCCUCCCCGUGUGCAGUCUGCGCUUGGGAAUUUGUUGUUGUUUGUUAUAACCCAAAUAUACUUGAAAGGUAAAGCUUAAGAGCAAACUUACCUGGUGUGGGCACUGCAGCGUGAAGAGUUCUCUCACCCAUUGCUCUGUCCUCCUGCGCCUGGAUCCUCGAGAAACGGACUGUUCUUAGAAGCUGAAAGUCCAGCCGGAUUUACAGACAUCCAAGUUUGUUGGUGGAAGGGACUUACCAUGUCUCAGACGAAACUUUGGACUGUGAACUUUUGAGUUAAUACUGCAAUGAGUUAAGACUGGUGAGUGUUCAAUAGCAAAGACUUGGAACCAACCCAAAUGUCCAACAACGAUAGACUGGAUUAAGAAAAUGUGGCACAUAUACACCAUGGAAUAUUAUGCAGCCAUAAAAAAUGAUGAGUUCAUGUCCUUUGUAGGGACAUGGAUGAAACUGGAAACCAUCAUUCUCAGCAAACUAUCGCAAGGACAAAAAACCAAACACCACAUGUUCUCACUCAUAGGUGGGAAUUGAACAAUGAGAACACAUGGAC